rnacentral:rRNA from 1 species
GCACAGAGGGAAGCCAGGUGGCGACACCGCGCGGAACCCGAAAGCCGUUCUCAGUUCGGAUCGGAGUCUGCAACCCGACUCCGUGAAGCUGGAUUCGCUAGUAAUCGCGCAUCAGCCAUGGCGCGGUGAAUACGUUCCCGGGCCUUGUACACACCGCCCGUCAAGCCAUGGGAGCCGGGGGUGCUUGAAGUGCGUCGCCGCAAGGCGCGCCCUAGAGCAAAACCGGUGACUGGGGCUAAGUCGUAACAAGGUAAC